rnacentral:rRNA from 1 species
GGGUCAGUAGGUUGGUCGUGCCACCGGUACGUACUGGUCUCACUGAUUCCUCCUUCCUGAAGAACCGUAAUGCCACUAAUUUGGUGCUGCGGGGAAACAGGACUGUUACUUUGAAAAAAUUAGAGUGUUUAAAGCAAGCUAACGCUUGAAUACAUUAGCAUGGAAUAAUGAAAUAGGACGAUCGAUCCUAUUUUGUUGGUUUCUAGGAUUGACGUA